rnacentral:rRNA from 1 species
GUAAAGAUUUUAAGGGCGUACGGUGGAUGCCUUGGCGAUAUCAGCCGAAGAAGGACGCGGUAAGCUGCGAAAAGCUACGGAGAGGUGCAAGCAACCUUUGACCCGUAGAUAUCCGAAUGGGGGAACCCGGCAGUGGUUAUGCACUGUCACCUAUAGCUUAGACUAUGAGGAGGGCACCCGGGGAACUGAAACAUCUAAUUACCCGGAGGAAGAGUAAUCAAACGAGAUUUUCUUAGUAGCGGCGAGCGAACGGGAAAGAGGCCAAACCGGAGCGGGCAACCGCACCGGGGUUGAGGACAGUCAUCAAGUGUACAUGAGGUAGAAGAAUGGAGCUGGAACGCUCAGCCGUAGAAGGUGAAAGCCCUGUAAUCGAAACCUUGCAUGCACGGGACUGUAUCCGGAGUACCACGAGA